CUUCUCUCUGUGCUUCAUAUCCAUCAUCACGAUUCCAUUAUCAAAUUAUGAUAUAUGAAAGUGUAACUUUCAAUUCACUAUUCUAUCGGUUCAUUGUCGAAGUAUGGUAUAAGAAAAAAACCCUCUUUUCUUACCCUAAUUCUAUUUUCAUCUUCUUCUCUCCGUGCUUCAUAUCCAUCAUCACGAUCUCUCUUUUAAUUGUUAUUGGUACGAGUUUUGUCCAAGAUAAGUUACGGAGAAACCAUAAUAUCCAUUAAAGAAAAGAUCUCACUAUUCAAGACAUACUCACACUGGAUCUCUUUCCUCCAACUGGACGAUAGCAUACAGUCUAGAAGUGGAGAUGGAAGCCAAAUGAUGGUGAACUACCUAUCUUUUAUCCAGUCAUGUCUUGGAACUUCUCAUAGGAAAUCUUUGCCAUUUGCUGGAGAUGUUAUUAGCAGGAAUUGAAAAUGCAAUCUUUGUUGUGUCUCUUCUCAGGUAAUAAUUCAUUCUUCACUAAUUUAAUAAAACAACUCUCAUUUGAUGUAUUAGUAUGACAUGAGUUAGUCCCUCAAACCUAAUUUAAGCAUCUACAAAGUAGUCCAUUAUCUAAGUAUGAUAUAUGAAAGUGUAGCUUUUAAUUCACUAUUCUAUCAGUCUAUAUUACCACAAAGCAAUAAUCCAUGCAUAAGUUGUGCUUUUAGUUUAAACACUUUCAAUGUGUUCUUUUUAAUCCUAAUUUUUAUCUUUGUAUCAACAAGGGUUAAGUAAAUACAUCUGAGUAUGUUUUCUACAGCUCCACCUAAAGGAAAAUCACAUGUAUAAUGAGCAGUGGCAGAUUGCAUGGAUCAUCCAUUCCUUCUGGCAAAUAUUACCAUUCUCUGUUUUGUAUGUCAUAAGUGCACUUUGGUCACCGUCACAGGAUUCAAUGCGGGAGUCCCUCAAUAUCUGUUUUGCUUACAUUUGGACACCUAGCACCCUGUGGUUCUUCUUUCUGGAACUGGAUUCGACCCAAUGACAACCCUUUAUCUUGACACAAAAUUACAGUGGUUAGGUGGUGAACUGGAUGUAUUUGAACCGUUCACAUCCUUAUAGUUCAACCCUGCCGUAGAAUGAAUGUUGAAUGGGCCCGAUAGGGAAGUUGGUAAUUAGGAUGCAUAAGUUUUAAUGAAUUUUAAAUGCACAACAAUUUCAUCAGUAACCCACAAGUGAGCAACUAAGAUGAUAAUUACCAGGUCAGGGGCCUAGUUAAGGCUGUUGUUGAAGCCAUAUGACGUAUUCAGUAGUCAAAUGGAUGGGUGGCUAGAAAAAUACAGCUUUGCACAGUAGCACUCAUAGAACAUUUGCGCAAUUGUAUGUCUGUAUUGAGUUAGUAUCAUAGGUCCUUCGUGGAUUCUCAUGAAUUAGCGGGACACAGUUUUGUGCUCGGUGAGCCUACAUGGGAAAGCAUAGAGACACUAUAUAUAGUACUGUGAUUUUGUUGCAAGCUCUUUAAUUUUCUCUCUAUUAGUAGAGUUUACGCCCAAUUUUGGACUGAAAAACUCGGUUUUGUGAGAUGCAUGAGGUCUUGCUGAUUGAUAUUAACUCAUUUCUAUAGUUAUUAACAUUAGAUAGACAAAUAUAUAGAUAGACAAACAUCAAAGCAUUCUAUGGCAUCCAGAUGGAGUGCACUAAGCGAAUGGUAUAUACGUUAGAUAGACAAAUAUAUAGAUAGUUUUGUUUUGUUUUCCAGUAUAAUCAACUAAAUCAUUGGCAUUGCAUGUCGAGUAUCAACAAAUUGUACAUCUAAUUUGAGGCAGACAUCAAAGCAUUUUUGGCAGUGGAAUGAGUGCACUGUGAAAAUGAUGGCACAACAAGCUUAUCCAGUGCCUUAUAAGAGACGAUUGAGCUUUGAAUUUGAAAGCCUAGCGGCCAUCGAAAAAUCAUGCCUUGGUCACUGUCAGAGUGAGACACGGGAAAUGUAGUUUUCUAACAAUGCUCAUGUCAUCCAAGAUAAGAUCUCCAUACGAGACUCCAACAGUCUCCAAUUCGGUGAUCACAUUUUGUUUGCCCGAUCGGUGGUAGAGAGGGAAAAAAAGAGUGAGUGGAAGGAGAGAGAGAAGGGCAAUAAUGACAAAAGUCCGUUAUGGAGAUCAUAUGCACAAUUUAGAAGAUAUGUCAAUUGGCUGAUGGUUUCUUUUUGUAUGCGAAUUACUUACGAUCCAUCAGCUGAUGUCGUACCAGGAACUCUUAAGAGCAGUCGAUGGAUAAAAGGAAGAUUAAAGGCAGGAGCCGAGUACAAGGCGUGUCUAUCAUUGGCUUGGACCUGUUUAGAAGAAAAAAAAAGCAAACAAGGUACAGUGCUGGUGAUAUGUUAACAAUGGCUGUAUUUGGUAGAUGUACGGUGUUGGGGAACGAUCUGUUGAAGGAUAUCGACUGCGUUUAAGCCGAUAAACUAGCAAGAAAGGAGGGUUCACGGACUGCUGCUGCCACUGAUUUCAUGUGGCUAAAUGGUGAUGAACGGAGAGGAUCAGGAGGUUGUUCUCAGCUGGAAUACAAUAAGGAUGAUGGAUGGAUACAAAUACUGUGAAGCCUGGGUUCAAGACAUACAUAUAACAAUAACAGUGGAUAUUGGGGGCUGGAUUCGCGCCAUGAAGUUCAAGGAGCAGUAAUUGAAGAUGGGUUUUGCAUGGAGCUGUUGGAUCAGUGGAGAUGGAUUUGUUUACAAGGGCGACAAACCAGUAGUGUUAAUGCUAUGAUUGUUGCUUUUGAUUCAGAGGUUUUGACCUAAAUUUGGUGUUGGAUGUGAUGGUUGUUACCAAGGAUUAAGAGUACAGUCAGUGAUGGUGAUAAGACAUGUAUGCUAAUUUAGGUCAUAAUUCAGUUGGAUUUGAGUUCAAGUUUAAGGAGAAAGGGAAGUGAAAAGAUGCAAAGAAAAAUGAAAGUUGGGGUCGUGAGUUAAUGACUGAAAUUCAGCCUGAACAGAAAAAUUAGGACUAUUCCAUCUUUCUCUUAUCCAACUUCAAGGACUUCGCUUUAUAAAUUAAAUAAAAUCAAGUUGUGUAUUAUCCGACAAAAAUAAAGCUUACUUGGUAUAUGCAUGUCCCUUUAAUUUUAGCAUGUCUUCUCCUGAUAGAAUCGUUAUUAGAUUUGCACGUUGAUCCAUAGUUGUCUCUCUUUGUAGUAUCAUCGUAGAUAUGCAGGGUCAAUGUUAAAACUUUCUGUUCACAGUAUAAGAUUUUUAAACUUUUGUAUUUAUGUGUA